CCAACCUCCAUUUGUGGAACUCUCAAGAAGCAGGAAGAGGCAGCCCUUUCUCCCACUAUGGCAGAUGGAUGGGGAAGACUCACUGUCUUCUCAGUCUCUGCCGGAGCAAGGAUGCUGGACCUAACCAUGACCGGUCAGAAGCCCCCACCGGAGAGGUUGAAUCUGGAGGCAGAAAUGCCAGCUGCAAGGAUCAGCUAGAGACUGUGAUGAGUCCAGAGUCCAAGGCAUUGUUCCGAGCAGGUGGUCCUUGGAGCAGGAUCUUGGCCGCACCUCGCCUUGGGUGGUUCCUGCCCGAGCCCAGUUCUGCAGUGUUCCGUCAACUCCUUCUCUGCUGUAGAUUCAGCUCCAGUGUGAAACCAAGAAUGCUAAGCAUGGCAGAUCCUGAUGAAUCCGCAGGACCAAAACAAGGGGCCUCUUUCUUCCAGGCAGUGGGGACAUCUUCUAGGCACUGGAAAGGCCAGGGACACUUUCAUUUCAGAGCCAGCAGGGCCCAAACAGUAGUGGGGACUCAACACAUUCUGGACUCUUUCUCUGGGCCUCUAGGAGCCUCACAGCAGAUAAGCAACUUUGAUUGUUCAAGGUCUGCUCUUCUAUUGCUUUCUACAAGGUGUGAACUCAGGGCUGGGCUCCACUCUCAGAUGUCUAUAAACACAUGGUGCCCGGAUCCUAUUCCUGUGCUCUAGGACCUUCCGGCAAGUCUGCUACAAAGAUGAGGCUCACAUUUCAAUGUUGGCCUCAUUAGAGAGGGCAUCAAACAAAAUUUCCACUGGAAGAUGAUUUCAUGUCAGCACCGCAGAGGGUCUGUCCUUCCCAGGAAAAUCUAAAUGCCCUAACUUGUUCUUGAGACCCAAGAUCUCCCACAGUUCUGAGACCUGAAAAGCUUUAUUCAGCAGACAUUUACUGAGUACCAACUGUAUGACAGACCUUUCUGAAAGCUUGAAGUUAUUUCAAAAUUAGAAAUCAAAAAAGAAUCACAUCAAUACAGGAAAAAUGAUCACAGUGAUGAGUGCUAUUUUUAAAAGGCAACCGGCUCCGUCUGUGGAUGGCUCUGUGCGGUUUCCAUCUGCUCUCCGUCCACCGCUGGUUUCACGUGAGCUCACAUGGAACUGCCUUUCGGAUUUCCUCCCGGGGGCUCAGCCAAGUGCACCCUGGGUGAUUUUGAAGCACGAACCUGCAUAAUAAAUGCAUGGCGUCUCCGUGGC
ensembl:lncRNA